GACAGCAGCCGCCGCGGUAAUACGGAGGGUGCAAGCGUUAAUCGGAAUUACUGGGCGUAAAGCGUGCGUAGGCGGCUUUUUAAGUCGGAUGUGAAAUCCCUGAGCUUAACUUAGGAAUUGCAUUCGAUACUGGGAAGCUAGAGUAUGGGAGAGGAUGGUAGAAUUCCAGGUGUAGCGGUGAAAUGCGUAGAGAUCUGGAGGAAUACCGAUGGCGAAGGCAGCCAUCUGGCCUAAUACUGACGCUGAGGUACGAAAGCAUGGGGAGCAAACAGGAUUAGAUACCCGCGUAGUCCCUGUCUCUUAUAC
rnacentral:rRNA from 1 species